UACAGAGGUCCCAAGCGUUGUUCGGAUUCACUGGGCGUAAAGGGUGCGUAGGCGGUUGGGUAAGUCUGUCGUGAAAUCUCCGAGCCUAACUCGGAAACUGCGUCGGAUACUAUUCAACUCGAGGAAUGGAGGGGAGACUGGAAUUCUCGGUGUAGCAGUGAAAUGCGUAGAUAUCGAGAGGAACACCAGUGGCGAAGGCGAGUCUCUGGACAUUUCCUGACGCCGAGGCACGAAAGCCAGGGGAGCAAACGGG
rnacentral:rRNA from 1 species